rnacentral:rRNA from 1 species
UACAGAGGGUGCAAGCGUUAAUCGGAAUUACUGGGCGUAAAGCGUGCGUAGACGGUUAUGUAAGUCAGAUGUGAAAGCCCCGGGCUCAACCUGGGAAUUGCAUUUGAGACUGCAUAGCUAGGGUGCGGAAGAGGGAAGCGGAAUUUCCGGUGUAGCGGUGAAAUGCGUAGAUAUCGGGAGGAACACCAGUGGCGAAGGCGACCACCUGGGGUUGUUCUGACGCUGAGGAGCGAAAGCUAGGGGAGCAAACGGG